GUGGGGAAUAUUGGACAAUGGGCGAAAGCCUGAUCCAGCCAUGCCGCGUGUGUGAAGAAGGUCUUCGGAUUGUAAAGCACUUUAAGUUGGGAGGAAGGGCAGUAAGUUAAUACCUUGCUGUUUUGACGUUACCGACAGAAUAAGCACCGGCUAACUUCGUGCCAGCAGCCGCGGUAAUACGAAGGGUGCAAGCGUUAAUCGGAAUUACUGGGCGUAAAGCGCGCGUAGGUGGUUUUGUAAGUUGGAGGUGAAAUCCCCGGGCUCAACCUGGGAACUGACUCCAAAACUGCAUGACUAGAGUACGGUAGAGGGUAGUGGAAUUUCCUGUGUAGCGGUGAAAUGCGUAGAUAUAGGAAGGAACACCAGUGGCGAAGGCGACUACCUGGACUGAUACUGACACUGAGGUGCGAAAGCGUGGGGAGCAAACAGGAUUAAAAACCCCGGUAGUCC
rnacentral:rRNA from 1 species